rnacentral:lncRNA from 1 species
CAUGAUGAUGGGAGGGAGAAGGAUGAAAUAAUGGAAAUGAGAAUGAUAGCUAGAUCAUACUUCCAACAACUAUUCUCAUCUUGAAGAAAAGGAAAUUAUGAGCAUAUUUUAUCAGGAGUUACUAGUAUUUCAGACGAAGAUAAUUUAAUGCUAAAGGCGAGAUAUACGAAGGAGGAGUUUCGAAGGCUUUGGCAGAAUUGGGUUCCACAAAAGUGCCAAGAGAAGAUGGGUUUCCAGCAUUAUUUUAUUAGAAGUGUUGGUCAAUUAUCGGGGAAGAGGUCACUAAUUUUUGUCUCAUUCAUCCGAAUGGAGGGAUGGAAAUAGGUCCAGUCAAUAAAACUAAUAUUGUAUUAAUCCCGAAAUUUCUAAUCCAGUGGGUAUAACACACUUUAGGCCUAUUAGUUUGUGUAAUGUUAUCUACAAAUUGAUGGCUAAAGUUCUGGCAAAUCGCAUUCGAAAAGUGCUAGACAAAUGCAUUGAUCUUGCUCAAAGUGCUUUUGUCCCUGAGAGAUUGAUUUCGGAUAACAUGUUGCUGACCUAUGAACUACUUCAUAGGUUGAGACAUAAAAGGGCAAGGAAAAAAGGAUUUAUGGAGGUAAAGUUGGAUAUGAGUAAGGCAUAUGAUAGGGUUGAAUGGAACUUUUUGGAGGAAAUAAUGAAGAAACUAGGAUUUGAUUAUGAGUGGGUGGCCUUACUAAUAAAGUGCAUAACUACAAUUUCUUAUUCGGUGGUUCUAAAUGGGCACAGUGGAGAACUUUUCUCUCCUUGUAGAGGAUUAUGACAGAGAGACCCAUUGACUCUGUUCCUAUUCUUAUUCCGUGGAGAAGACCUUUCUAGCCUUAUGAAGUUGGGAAUGUAGGAGAAAAAAGUGAGAGGUGUCAAGGUAAGAAGAAGUGGGUCGCAGGUUUCACACUUACUUUUCGCAGAUGAUUGUAUGUUGUUUGGGAAAGCUACUGAGAGGAGUUCAAUUUUUUUGAAAUAGAUCCUCCAUGAAUACGAAGCUUGCUCGGGACAGAAAGUAAACUAUUCAAAAUCUACAAUUUUUUUCAGUAGUAAUACGCGGAAAGGAGAAAGAAGAACAAUUACUCGAGUUCUUGGGGUGCAAAGCUCAAAUGAUUUGGAAAGGUAUCUAGGGUUACCUAAUUUGGUGGGUAGAAGAAAGAAGGCAGCGUUCCAGAUUUUGAAGGAUAGACUAAAACAACGAGUUGAUAAUUGGAGUAUCAAAUAUCUCUCACAAGGGGGUAAUGAGGUUUUUAUCAAAGCUAUUUUACAGUCUAUACCAAUUAUUCAAUAACGUAUUUUUUUCCCUAAAUCUUUAUACAAGGAAUUGGAGGGUAUAAUUGAAAAUUUUUGGUGGCAAAAAAGUAAGGGGAAAAAUGGGAUUCAUUGUUGUGCUUGGAAGGAUAUUUGCUUGGUGAAAGAAUUGGGUGGUCUGGGCUUCAGAAGUUUGGAUAAAUUUAAUAUAGCAUUAUUAGCUAAACAGGGUUGGCGUCUCAUUAAUUAUCAAAAUUCUUUAUUAGCCCAAGUUUUAAAAGCUAAGUAUUAUCCAAAUACGAAUUUCUUAAAUGCUCCUUUAAGUAACCUACCUUUACUUACCUGGAUGAGUAUUUGGUCAACAAAAAAACUCUUGGAAGAUGGAUUAUGCUGGAGGGUCGGUAAGGGAGACCAUAUUUCAUUAUGGACUGAUCGCUGGAUAUCGGGAAAUACUGAAGAUAGAAUACAAAACAACAACAGCAAUGAAAGUAUCAGAAUAGUGUCCGACUUAAUCAAUAAAGAUAGUAGAACGUGGAACAGAGAUUUGAUUUUCCAUACCUUUAAUACGAAUAUCGUUAGAAGAAUACUACAAAUUCCGCUAUCAAAGUCAACCCAUAAAAACUUCCAGGUGUGGAGAGGGGAGGCAACUGGAGACUUCUCAGUAAGGAGUGCCUAUAAACUAUUACAAGAUAUUACAGUGAAUCCUAGUGUUUAUUUAUAGACCGAUACUAAAAGCUUUUACAGGAAACUGUGGUAUUUACACAUGCCCUCAAAAAUCAAAAUUAUAGUAUGGAAAAUUUUGUGGAACUACAUUCCCAUUUUCUCUAAUCUGAAGCUGAGAAGAGUGAUGGCUGAGGAUCAAUGUAUGAGAUGUAGUCAAGGAGAAGAAGACUGCAACCACGUAUUCCAAUUGUGCUCUACAACGAAAGAAAUAUGGAGUCACUUAAAUUUCUCCUGUGUUUUCAACAACAGUAGUCUAGAUCUUUGGAGUUGGCUUACCUAGGUUUUCAACUAAGGGACAAAUGAGCAGUGUAGAAUGUUUUGUUGCGGGAUCUGGCUAAUCUAGACAAAUAGAAUCAAGUUAAUAUAUGAAGGCAAAUCAAGCAUGAGUUGGGAUAUCUCCAAACAAAUUAAAAGUUAUAUUUUAGAAUUGGAAGGUAUUAAAGAUAGGGAACUCAGCUUGGAAACUAAUGCAAGACCUAAACAAAGCAUACAAAGGGCGAACGUGGCUAUUUUUUUCGAUGUUGCUUUUGACACACAAAACUUCAGAUUUGCAUCAGGCCUAGUCGUUAAAGACAAGGGGGGCAGAUUCAUUGCGGCAAAAUCGAUUCUUCACGACAACGUUGCAUAUUCGUUCGCGGCGGAAGCAUAUGCAGGAUUUCAAGCAACAAAAUUAGAGAUUCAUUUGCGCUAUCAUACUUUGGACAUAAUAGGCGACUCGAAAUCAGUGAUAACAAAAUGCCAAAAUGCAAAUCUCGACAGGUUAGAAAUAGGAGCAAUUAUCAGUGACAUUCAAAGUCUAAAAGCUCAUUUUCAAGAAAUCAGAUAUUACUUUACUCCAAGGUCAGAAAACACAGAAACCCAUCGAUUAGCAAAAGAAACACUCAAGUAUGGAGAGGAACAGUACCUGAAGGGAGGGAUUUCAAG